UCAGUAAUGGCGAAUGAACAGGGGCUUGCUCAUUCUGGGAAGCUGGGCUCAUGGCCUUACUUUGUAAAUAUGCGAUGUGCCACCAACAGCGCCCCAGUUGUAAGCCUCUUGGGCGAGAGCAUCAGUGAGGGUGAGAAUCCUGUGCGCCACCUGGGGCUGCUUGUCAACGGUGCACACCAUGAGAAUCACAUUUCUUGAACAUGAAAUGCAAAUUGGGUGGUGCAUGCCGCGCAAAGCUGGAUAUGUGCUUGAGGCCGAUAGUAUACAAGUACCAUGAGGGAAUGAUGAAAAGAACUUUGGAAAAAGAGCUAAAAGUGCAUGACCUUGCUGUGUGGGAAGAGAAUCGGCCCCCUUUGUGCGCUGAGGUUGUGGCGCGACCAAGGUUGGCAUUGUAACUGUGUCUUCGGUCAUGUCCUGUGCUGCUGUCCUUGGUGCAUGGGCCAGCGCUAGCUUUGCUUUAAACAACGCCUUGGCCUUGCGAUCUAUAUAAACAUAGGUUUGUGUUUCGACCAAGAAAGGUUUGUGUAAGUUAGGCCGAUGAGGUUGGGCUGCUGCACCUGACUCGAGGCUCAACUGGUAAUAUGUGUCCUAUUCGACCCGUCUUGAAACACGGACCAAGGAGUCUAACACCUGUGCAAGCCUAUAGGCUCAACGCCUCCAUGCGAAAUGAAAGUAUGUGCUGGGAUGUGUGCACCAGCAACCAACUAAAUCAUGUGGGCGGUUUGUGUGUGAGCAUAUUGGUUAGGGCCCGAAAGAUGGUGAACUAUGUUUGCGCAAAGUGAAUUCAGGGGAAACCCUGAUGGAGGCUUGUCGCAGCACUGACGUGCAAAUCGUUUGUCAGAUGUGGGUAUAGGGGCGAAAGACUCAUCGAACCAUCUAGUAGCUGGUUCCCUCUCAAGUUUCCCUCAGGAUAGCUGGGUAUAUGUAGUUUUAUCAGGUAAAGCAAAUGAUUGGAGGACUUGGGGGCGUGCUGCUGUCAACCUACUCUCAAACUUUAAAUGGAUAAGCUUCUGCGGUUGCUUCCUUGAACUGCAUGAAUCAAUCUGAUGUCCAAGCGGGCCUCUUUUGGUAAGCAGAAUUGGCGAUGAGGGAUGAACCUAAUGCUGGACUGAAGUGCUGAACUGCUCGCUCAUCAGAUACCAGAAAGGGUGUUGGCUCAUUUGAACAGC
rnacentral:rRNA from 1 species